rnacentral:rRNA from 1 species
UACGUAGGGUACAAGCGUUACUCGGAAUCACUGGGCGUAAAGCGCAUGUAGGCGGGUCUGAAAGUCGAUUGUGAAAGCCCUGGGCUCAACCUGGGAAUGGCAGUCGAUACUGCAGAUCUUGAAUGUUCGAGAGGAUGGCAGAAUUCCUGGUGUAGAAGUGAAAUUCGUAGAUAUCAGGAGGAAUACCGGUGGUGAAGACGGCUGUCUGGCGAAACAUUGACGCUGAGGUGCGAAAGUGCGGGGAUCAAACAGG